CCUGUCUAGUUUCCCUCCCAAACUCCUCUGGGGUGUCCAAAGCUAUGGGUCUUUCUACCGUGUUAGGGCUGAGUGUCUGUUUGUGGCUUACCUGGGUCUCCCGUUCUGCUGGAGGAUCGUCCUCGAUACGGGUCUGUGAGCGGGUGGUCACGGGACAAGCAGCAGCAGUCGUGGGUAGAUAAGCUGAAGCCAGAGGGCCAAUGUCGUUGCCCAACACGACUUCAGCAGGUAAAUUGUCCAUGAUUCCGACUGUGGUCUUUCCCGACCCGACUCCCCAAUCCAAGUGUACC